AAUUAAAAUGUUAUUAUAAAAAUAUAUUAUUGAAAAAUAAUGAAUUCAGAAAAUUAUUAAACAUUGGAUAAGUUUAAUAAAAUAUUAAAUUAGUACAUAAAAGAAUUUAUAGUGUUGUCAUUGACUCGAUUAGUCUUAUUUAACUUUUAAUUUUUUUCGCUAUUAUUCUUACUUUGGGUUAUAUUCGGUGUAAAUUUAUAAAUGUGAGUGUAUUCUCUGUCUCUAAGUACAAAGUUGAUAACAAUUCACAUAUACACCAUAACUAUAAAAUACAAAUAUACCUAAAAUUUAUGUGUAAAAAUAAGUUUUUAAUUAAAAAAUAAGUCUUAAAGAAUAUAUGCAGAAACAAUCCAAAAAAAAUAAUAAGAUGGUUUUUUUUCAAAUAAAACUCGUUGCAACGCAACGGGCUCAUAUCUAGUCACUAAUAAUUUGAGACAAUAAAUCAUAUUACUACAUGUAAACUAUAAAAUUAUAUUGUGUUUAAAAAUAUUAUAUUAAACUAUUAUUGAUAUAAUAAAUGUUAAAAUUGUAUACCUCUAAUCAUGUAAAUCAAAAUAUAUAUAUGUAUAAAAUAAAAAUUAUUAUCCGCACGGUUUUGCGCAUCAAGAUCUAGUUACUUUUUUUAAAGGAGAAUUACUAUUAAAUAAUAUUUAUAAUUACUUUUAUUUAUUUUUUAAUCGUUUUUGCUAUUAUAUUAGUAUAUAUAUAUGUUUUGAUUAUGAACACAAGUCAAAUUUUAAAUAUAUAAUUGUCAUUGUAUGACAUUUAAUUUAAUAUAUUACAACAUAAAUCACAACUUCAUUUUAUGUGUGUGUUUUUAAGUUGGACCAUCUCUUAAAAAUUUAUUUAAAUGAAAUUUUGUAUACAUAUUUGAAUUAUUUGAACUAUUCUAAGAAAAAAAAUCAAAUAGAUAUCCCUAUAAUUUCGAGAAGUAAUCAGUGAUGACCUCAAGGAUUUCAUGUUCGUCAAUUAAAAAUCUAAGAUAUUGAAAUUCUAAUUUAAUAAUUUAUCUAUAAUAUAUAUGAGUGAAAUGAAAUAUGAUAAAAUCCUGGAAUAAUAUCUAUAAUUUAUCUAUAGUAUCUGCUCCACUAAAAUAAAAUGAUAAUAUCCUGCCAUCCUGGAAAUUGAGUGAUGCUAAUAUAAUAGAAUAAACUUUGCCUAAAACUACCAAAACUUCAAGACCCAUAAGUGAAAUCUAAGUCUUCGAUGGCUUCUACUCUAACACAAACCACACAAACCAUAAAUAGUUUCCACCUCUUCAUUCUAUAUAAGCAUACGAAUGAGUCAUACUGAUCAUCAUUCAUUAGUAAAUUAAGAUACAAUACUAAGAUGGCAUCUUCUAAAGUAUCUUCCAUGCUUCUCUUUCUCCUCCUUCUCGUUCUUGUGUUUCCCAUAUGGAUAAAGCCCUUGGUGAAAAAGACAGCUCCACGAACUUAAAGGCACAGAGCAUCCCGAUCAACUGAUGACGGUUGGAAGGAGCCUUCUCUUUCGCAUCCCUCCAUGCCCACCGUCCUUAUGUAAGCCUCGUCCGAUAAGAAUUCCUCCCCGACUUCGUACACCUCCACCCCCUCCACGGCAUUGAAGGUUUCCAAAAGGCAAAAACACAUGGAUACCAAAAUAUUUGGAUGAAAAUAUAUUUUCGUAAUUCCUCACUAUAAAUGUAAUUCUGAAAUUUUCUUUCAAAAUAAAGAGAUCAUGCCACUCGGGAUGAUGGUAUGAUGAUAUGUUGUUGUAAGUUUUAAGCUAUUGUAUGAUGAUAUAUUUGUUGAUAUUAUUCAACGUAAAUAAAUAUAGUUUAUGGA